UAAUACGGAGGGUGCGAGCGUUAAUCGGAAUUACUGGGCGUAAAGCGCACGCAGGCGGUUUGUUAAGCUAGAUGUGAAAGCCCCGGGCUCAACCUGGGAUGGUCAUUUAGAACUGGCAGACUAGAGUCUUGGAGAGGGGAGUGGAAUUCCAGGUGUAGCGGUGAAAUGCGUAGAUAUCUGGAGGAACAUCAGUGGCGAAGGCGGCUCCCUGGCCAAAGACUGACGCUCAUGUGCGAAAGUGUGGGUAGCGAACAGGAUUAGAUACCCUGGUAGUCCACACCGUAAACGCUGUCUACUAGCUGUUUGUGAAUUUAAUUCGUGAGUAGCGAAGCUAACGCGCUAAGUAGACCGCCUGGGGAGUACGGCCGCAAGGUUA
rnacentral:rRNA from 1 species